rnacentral:rRNA from 1 species
UACGUAGGGGGCUAGCGUUGUCCGGAUUUAUUGGGCGUAAAAGAGCGUGUAGGCGGCCAGGUAGGUCUGGUGUGAAAACUCGAGGCUUAACCUCGAGAUGUCAUCGGAAACCAUCUGGCUAGAGUCCGGAAGAGGAGAGUGGAAUUCCUGGUGUAGCGGUGGAAAUGCGCAGAUAUCAGGAAGAACACCAAUGGCGAAAGCAGCUCUCUGGGACGGUACUGGACGCUGAGACGCGAAAGCGUGGGGAGCGAACA